ACUCCGUUAGCUCAACGGACAGAGCAUCUGACUUUUUAUCAGAACUUUAGGCGUUCGAAUCGCCUACGGAGUA
rnacentral:tRNA from 1 species